GAUGAAGAACGUAGCGAAAUGCGAUAAGUAAUGCGAAUUGCAGAAUUUCCGUGAGUCAUCGAAUCUUUGAACGCACAUUGCGCCCACUGGUAUUCCGGUGGGCAUGCCUGUUCGAGCGUCAUUAUCCUCCCUCAAACCCCGGGUUUGGUGUUGGACCGAAGUUGUGUGAACAACUGUUCUAAAAGACAAUGACGGCGUCCGUGGGACCCUCGGUGCAACGAGCUUUUAGGAGCACGCGCCGAGUUGCAAGGACCUUCCGGGCCGGUCUCCUUUUACUAUUUUACAAGGUUGACCUCGGAUCAGGUAGGAAUACCCGCUGAACUUAAGCAUAUCAAUAAGCGGAGGA
rnacentral:misc_RNA from 1 species